rnacentral:tRNA from 1 species
ACCUGGCUGGCUCAGUCGGUGGAGCAUGUGACUCUUGAUCUCAGGGUUGUGGGUUCAAGCCCCACACUGGGUG